GUGGGGAAUCUUGGGCAAUGGGCGCAAGCCUGACCCAGCCAUGCCGCGUGUGCGAAGAAGGCCUUCGGGUUGUAAAGCACUUUCAGUGGUGAAGAAAAGCCAGGGGCUAAUACCCCCAGGUCUUGACGUUAGCCACAGAAGAAGCACCGGCUAACUCCGUGCCAGCAGCCGCGGUAAUACGGAGGGUGCGAACGUUAAUCGGAAUUACUGGGCGUAAAGCGCGCGUAGGCGGUUCGGUAAGUGGGAUGUGAAAGCCCUGGGCUUAACCUGGGAACUGCAUUCCAAACUGCCGAGCUAGAGUAUGGUAGAGGGAGGUAGAAUUUCCUGUGUAGCGGUGAAAUGCGUAGAUAUAGGAAGGAAUACCAGUGGCGAAGGCGGCCUCCUGGAUCAAUACUGACGCUGAGGUGCGAAAGCGUGGGGAGCAAACAGGAUUAGAAACCCCAGUAGUCC
rnacentral:rRNA from 1 species